rnacentral:rRNA from 1 species
UACGAAGGGGGCUAGCGUUGUUCGGAUUUACUGGGCGUAAAGCGCACGUAGGCGGAUUGUUAAGUCGGGGGUGAAAUCCUGGAGCUCAACUCCAGAAUUGCCUUCGAUACUGGCUUUCUAGAGGCUGGAAGAGGUUAGUGGAAUUCCCAGUGUAGAGGUGAAAUCCGUAGAUAUUGGGAAGAACACCAGUGGCGAAGGCGGCUAACUGGUCCAGAUCUGACGCUGAGGUGCGAAAGCGUGGGGAGCAAACAGG